CAGGAAGAAAGGCGGUUUUAGUUUGCUUUUCGAAGAAGAAGCCUUCGCCGCCACCGAAUCUGGUCAACCGGCUAUCGUGCCGGGCAAUCACAAAAAAAGCGAAUUGUAUCGCCGGCUGAUUCACCACGAUCCGGAAGAGCGCAUGUCCCAGGAUGCCGAUCCACUCUCCGAAACGGAGAUUCAACUCGUCGCCAAAUGGAUCGAUCAGGGCGCGAAGUGGGAAAAACA
rnacentral:rRNA from 1 species